AACGAACGCUGGCGGCAUGCCUAACACAUGCAAGUCGAACGAGACCUCCGGGUCUAGUUGCGCUCGUGUGCGUAACGCGUGGGAACCUGCCCUUAGGUUCGGAAUACCUCCCUUAAAGGGGUGCUAAUGCCGGUUAAUGUCUUCGUACCAAAGAUUUAUCGUCUUUGGAUGGGCCCGCGUUGUAUUAGCUAGUUGGUAGGGUAAAAGCCUACCAAGGCGACGAUCCAUAGCUGGUCUGAGAGGAUGAGCAGCCACACUGGGACUGAGACACGGCCCAGACUCGUACGGGAGGCAGGAGUGGGAAAUAUUGAACGACGGGAGAAAGCAUGAUCCAGCAAGGCUGGGUGAGUGAUGAAGGCGGUAGGGAAGUGAAGCUCGUUUACCCGGGAUGAUAAUGACAGUACCGGGAGAAUAAGCUCCGGCUAACUCCGUG
rnacentral:rRNA from 1 species